AGUGAACGCUGGCGGUAGGCCUAACACGUGCAAGUCGAACGGCAGCACAGUAAGAGCUUGCUCUUACGGGUGGCGAGUGGCGGACGGGUGAGGAAUACAUCGGAAUCUACUUUUUCGGGGGGGAGAACGUAGGGAAACUUACGCUAAUACCGCAUACGACCUACGGGUGAAAGCAGGGGAUCUUCGGACCUUGCGCGAUUGAAUUAGCCGAUGUCGGAUUAGCUAGUUGGCGGGGUAAAGGCCCACCAAGGCGACGAUCCGUAGCUGGUCUGAGAGGAUGAUCAGCCACACUGGAACUGAGACACGGUCCAGACUCCUACGGGAGGCAGCAGUGGGGAAUAUUGGACAAUGGGCGCAAGCCUGAUCCAGCCAUACCGCGUGGGUGAAGAAGGCCUUCGGGUUGUAAAGCCCUUUUGUUGGGAAAGAAAAGCAGCAGGUUAAUACCCCGCUGUUCUGACGGUACCCAAAGAAUAAGCACCGGCUAACUUCGUG
rnacentral:rRNA from 1 species